rnacentral:rRNA from 1 species
AGUUCGAUCCUGGCUCAGAUUGAACGCUGGCGGGAUGUUUACAUGCAAGUCGAAUGGCAGCACGGACUUCGGUCUGGUGGCGAGAGUGGCGAACGGGUGAGUAAUGUAUCGGAACGUGCCUAGUAAAGUGGGGAUAACUACGCGAAAGCGUAGCUAAUACCGCAUACUAUUCUUCGGGGGAAAGCGGGGGACCUUCGGGCCUCGCACUAUUAGAGCGGCCGAUAUCGGAUUAGCUAUUGGUGGGGUAACGGCUCAUCAAGGGCGACGAUCCGUGGAAGCGCCAGUUUGAGAGGACGACCAGCCACACUGGGACUGAGACACGGCCCAGACUCCUACGGGAGGCGGCAGUGGGGAAUUUUGGAUAAUGGGAAACUCCCGAUCCAGCCAUCUCGCGUGUGCGAUGAAGGCCUUCGGGUUGUAAAGCACUUUUGGUAGGAAAGAAAUGGCACGGGAUACACCGUGCAACUGAUUAUACCUGCAGAAUAAGCACUGGCUACGCCAGCAGCCGCGGUAAUACGUAGGGUGCAAGCGUUAAUCGAACUAUAUUACGGGCGUAAAGCGUAUGCAGGCGGUUCGGAAAGAAAGAUGUGGAAAUCCCAGAGCUUAACUUUGGAACUGCAUUUUUAACUACCGAGCUAGAGUGUGUCAGAGGGAGGCGGAAUUCCGCGUGUAGCAGUGAAAUGCGUAGAUAUGCGGAGGAACACCGAUGGCGAAGGCAGCCUCCUGGAUAGCCACCAUCGCUUCGCGCACGAAAGCGUGGGGAGCAAACAGGAUUAGAUAAUUCUGGUAGUCCACGCCUCAAACGAUGUCAACUAGCUGUUGGGGCCUUGGCCUUUGGCAGCGCAGCUAACGCGUGAAGUUGACCGCCUGGGGAGUACGGUCGCAAGAUUAAAACUCAAAGGAAUUGACGGGGACCCGCACAAGCGGUGGACGAUGUGGAUUAAUUCGAUGCAACGCGAAAAACCUUACCUACCCUUGACAUGUCUGGAAUCCCGAAGAGAUUUGGGGAGUGCUCGCAAGAGAACCGGAACACAGGUGCUGCAUGGCUGUCGUCAGCUCGUGUCGUGAGAUGCUGGGUUAAGUCCCGCAACGAGCGCAACCCUUGUCAUUAGUUGCUACGAAAGGGCACUUCCACGAGACUGCCGGUGACAAACCGGAGGAAGGUGGGAUGAUGUCAAGUCCCCAUGGCUCUUAUGGGUAGGGCUUCACACGUCAUACAAUGGUCGGGACAGAGGUGCCAACCCGCGAGGGGAGCCAAUCCCAGAAACCCGAUCGUAGUCCGGAUCGCAGUUCGCAACUCGACUGCGUGAAGUGUCGGAAUCGCUAGUAAUCGCGGAUCAGCAUGUCGCGGUGAAUACGUUCCCGGGUCUUGUACACACCGCCCGUCACACCAUGGGAGGCUUCACCAGGAAGGAGUUACCUAACCGGAAGAGGGCGAUUACCACGGUAGGAUUCAUGAUCAAAGAAGUCGUAACAAGGUAA